AUUCAGCUGACGAGUCCCAAAUGGGACGAAACGCGCGCCCUCGAU
rnacentral:hammerhead_ribozyme from 1 species